UGGGAAUAUUGCACAAUGGGCGAAAGCCUGAUGCAGCAACGCCGCGUGAGGGAAGACGGUUUUCGGAUUGUAAACCUCUGUUUUCGGUGACGAACAAAUGACGGUAACCGAGUAGAAAGCCACGGCUAACUACGUGCCAGCAGCCGCGGUAAUACGUAGGUGGCAAGCGUUGUCCGGAAUUACUGGGUGUAAAGGGAGUGUAGGCGGGAUUUUAAGUCAGAAGUGAAAAUUACGGGCUCAACUCGUAACCUGCUUUUGAAACUGAAAUUCUUGAGUGAAGUAGAGGCAAGCGGAAUUCCUAGUGUAGCGGUGAAAUGCGUAGAUAUUAGGAGGAACACCAGUGGCGAAGGCGGCUUGCUGGGCUUUUACUGACGCUGAGGCUCGAAAGCGUGGGGAGCAAACAGGAUUAGAUACCCUGGUAGU
rnacentral:rRNA from 1 species